UACGUAGGGUGCAAGCGUUAAUCGGAAUUACUGGGCGUAAAGCGUGCGCAGGCGGUUAUGUAAGACAGUUGUGAAAUCCCCGGGCUCAACCUGGGAACUGCAUCUGUGACUGCAUAGCUAGAGUACGGUAGAGGGGGAUGGAAUUCCGCGUGUAGCAGUGAAAUGCGUAGAGAUCCGGAGGAACACCAGUGGCGAAGGCGACACGCUGGGCCGUACCUGACACUGAUGCGCGACAGCAUGGGGAGCAAACAGG
rnacentral:rRNA from 1 species